CCUGCAAAACGAAUCUAAGUUCCCCCUUAACCCUCUUUUUCCUCCCCAGACAAACCCAACCCAAAUGUGAUAGUUAAGGGCUAUUUAAAGGGGGUACAGCCCCUUUAAAAAAGGACACAACCUCCACCAGCGGAUAACCCCUGUACGCCCAACCCCGUGGGCCUUAAAGCAGCCACCCCCAAAGAUUGCGUCAAAGCUCCAUCAACCAAAAACCCCCAAAACCAAUGCGACUCCCUACACCCACAGCAGGCCAACCUAUAACAAUAGAUGAGUCAAUGCUAGAACGAGUAACCAGGACACUACGUCCCCCUAAGCGCCAGCCUGUAUACCAUUAACAGUAAAACCUCAAUAAUAACCACCCCCACCAUUGAACCCACCCUGUCAACCCAACUCAGGGGCGCACACUGGAGUGAUCAAAAUCUACAAAAGGAACUCGGCAAACCUAAGACCCGACUGUUUACCAAAAACAUAGCCUUCAGCCAAACAAGUAUUGAAGGUGAUGCC
rnacentral:rRNA from 1 species